UUUUGAAUUUUUUGUUCUGGCUCAGGAUGAACGCUGGCGGCGUGCCUAACACAUGCAAGUCGAGCGAUCUCUUCGGAGAGAGCGGCGGACGGGUGAGUAACGCGUGGGUAACCUGCCCUGUACACACGGAUAACAUACCGAAAGGUAUACUAAUACGGGAUAACAUACGAAAGUCGCAUGGCUUUUGUAUCAAAGCUCCGGCGGUACAGGAUGGACCCGCGUCUGAUUAGCUAGUUGGUAAGGUAAUGGCUUACCAAGGCAACGAUCAGUAGCCGACCUGAGAGGGUGAUCGGCCACACUGGAACUGAGACACGGUCCAGACUCCUACGGGAGGCAGCAGUGGGGAAUAUUGCACAAUGGGCGAAAGCCUGAUGCAGCAACGCCGCGUGAGCGAUGAAGGCCUUCGGGUCGUAAAGCUCUGUCCUCAAGGAAGAUAAUGACGGUACUUGAGGAGGAAGCCCCGGCUAACUACGUGCCAGCAGCCGCGGUAAUACGUAGGGGGCUAGCGUUAUCCGGAAUUACUGGGCGUAAAGGGUGCGUAGGUGGUUUUUUAAGUCAGAAGUGAAAGGCUACGGCUCAACCGUAGUAAGCUUUUGAAACUAGAGAACUUGAGUGCAGGAGAGGAGAGUAGAAUUCCUAGUGUAGCGGUGAAAUGCGUAGAUAUUAGGAGGAAUACCAGUAGCGAAGGCGGCUCUCUGGACUGUAACUGACACUGAGGCACGAAAGCGUGGGGAGCAAACAGGAUUAGAUACCCUGGUAGUCCACGCCGUAAACGAAGAGUACUAGGUGUCGGGGGUUACCCCCCUCGGUGCCGCAGCUAACGCAUUAAGUACCUCCCGCCC
rnacentral:rRNA from 1 species